CAAAGGCAAUUAAGGUGGCUUUUUUUUUCCUCUCUCCUUAAAACAUUUACACGUUCUCCUUAUUUUCAGCAGUAAUUUCUUUCUGGAAUAAAGGAAACUAUCUCUCCAUUUAAACAGGUAGAGAUUCUCCCAGGUUUAAAAAGGCGUUAAUAUUAGCCAUCUAACACAUUGUUGCUACUUUGAGCUUUCAAGAUCUUUGUUCACCAAAACUGUGGAAGGUGUGACCAUCUGAGAGCUAAAAUGCUGGAGAAUGGGGAGUGCCUUCCCAGAAUACUGGAGAUCCUGUUCCAUUAUACUCAUAUAAGCUAGGUUGCAGAAGCAUUUCUCACCACUGAUGCUGCUGGGCGAAAGAAAUGAACGUGAUUGAUUAUGACUUUGAUACACCUGAGGAACAGAGAAAAUUCAGUAAACAUCUCUGUGUUUCUGUCUGUCAACAGGAUAGAGGAAUGAAGGGAGUCCAUAUGUCAGCAUGCAUGACUUUUUCUGUUUGGAUGGAUGGGACGGACUUCUGAUCUGACACACCUGUUCCAGUAUCCUGACAUGAUGAGUGCCAGCUCUGAAGUGAAAGGAUACAGGAACAGGCUGUAUCUAACUGUGACUACACAGUGUUGAAAACUGAAUCGUUAAUACGGUAAAGCUAUCUCAAGGAGGUUCUUUACACAGUAGGUAAGAAUCAUCAUCCAUGUUAUCCGCAAGUGGAAAGGUAAGGCAUGAGGCACUGAAAGCAUCACAAGACCACCAAAGAGAUGGCUAAAAAUAUAUAUAUACACACCUUCAAAGACUGUCUGAUGGCUAUCUAAGAAGCCAAGCUCUUUUACUGGAGUAUUACAGAUCAAUCAGGGAUCUUGGAUCUGUAAUUUCUAAACUUCUGAAAAGCAACAUAAUUAGCCUUUCAAAUACUGGCCCAUAAUCAAGUCUUUUUUCUGCGUAAUCAAGAGAGCGGUUAAACAGCUGAGAGUCAUAAAAGAACAGGAAGAAUUUUAAGAUGCAGAGAAAUUAAAUUUGCUCCAGUUUUCAAAGGAUUAAUCCAGCCCUCAUCUCUCCUUUGACAUCUCUUGGCUACAUCCAAAUAGUCGUCUGCCUGUUCUUCCUCCACAAAAUAUGAAGGGAUGUUACUUGGGCUACCUCAUUCCCUGCCGGUUGCUAAUGGAAAAUAGUACUGCUGUGCAGGGAGACUUGUUUUAUAGGUGUUUUUCUUCUAUCUGGUUUUACAGUUCUCUACCGCCACUGUUCAGCAUUCCCUGGAUUGCUCUGCCGUUCUCUGGCCAUCCAUAUAUGUUUUGCAAACUGAGUGACACAAAGGCCUCUAAAAAAGGAAACACCUCUCACAAAACACUUUGCACUGUUCAUUGCUAUUUCUCUUAAGACAGGAGAACGGUUGCCUCCUAUCACCCUUAAGUUCCAUUUAAAAGCUGGUCAAUCCUACUGGAUACACCAGCCUUCCACUGCUCAGUCCUGGUGCCCGCAUAAGGACAGCUUUACAAAAUGAGUACUCCCUUUUCCCCUGCUAGGGCUUGACACACACUUGUAAGAUUAACAGCUAUGGAAUCUAGUGUUGUUUUAUUUUGUCAUCAGUUUUCAGUGAUAUCAUAGUCUUUUCAUUCCAGCACCUUUCACUUCCCAGUCCUUAAACUAAUAUACUGAUCCCUAUUACUAAAUAAACCAGACUAUAUCACCACUUUUUAAGCUGAGAUGUAGUUUUUCCUCUGUCCUUCUCCUUGUACAUACACUAGACUGUGCAUAAACAGCAAAGCACAAGAACUUUACAGCAAGCAGUUCCAAGUCUAACUAGGGCCUAGAGUACUGCCUACCUGAUAGUUGUGUAUAAUUUAAAGAACACUAACUGCAGAAUUUCCAAGUACUUGAUUUAAAGAAUCUUAUAUUUUUAUUAAAGUAGUUUUGCAGACUGACCAAAUAUGUUGUACUAUGGUUGAUUUUAUUGUGUAGCUACAUGGCUCCAUGCCCAUUGACUUCAAGCAAGUACAGCACUACUGCUGGAUCACAACAGUGCUAGACUGAAAGAACCAUAAUAUGAAAUUUGCAACUACAGUUUAAUCUACUUUAAAAAUAUGAAAUCUAGUAUGGUUAAUAUACCUAUCUUAAACUAAAAACUUUACCUGGAGAAAAUAAGUAGGUAUUUUUCAGUGCUCUGAUACUGAACUUAUUUUGAAUCAAUAACUCUGAUUAUUUUGCACAAAAAACAACCAACCAAAAAAAAAAAAC
ensembl:lncRNA